rnacentral:rRNA from 1 species
GUCGAACGGAGUACCCUCGAAAGAGAUUUCGGUCAAUGGAGAGGACUACUUAGUGGCGGACGGGUGAGUAACGCGUGAGGAACCUGCCUUUCAGAGGGGGACAACAGUUGGAAACGACUGCUAAUACCGCAUAACGUACGGGUAUCGCAUGGUACUGGUACCAAAGAUUUAUCGCUGAGAGAUGGCCUCGCGUCUGAUUAGCUAGUUGGUAGGGUAACGGCCUACCAAGGCGACGAUCAGUAGCCGGACUGAGAGGUUGGCCGGCCACAUUGGGACUGAGAUACGGCCCAGACUCCUACGGGAGGCAGCAGUGGGGAAUAUUGGGCAAUGGGCGCAAGCCUGACCCAGCAACGCCGCGUGAAGGAAGAAGGCUUUCGGGUUGUAAACUUCUUUUGGCAGGGAAGAGCAGAAGACGGUACCUGUCGAAUAAGCCACGGCUAACUACGUGCCAGCAGCCGCGGUAAUACGUAGGUGGCAAGCGUUGUCCGGAUUUACUGGGUGUAAAGGGCGUGUAGCCGGGCUGACAAGUCAGAUGUGAAAUCCGGGGGCUCAACCCCCGAACUGCAUUUGAAACUGUUGGUCUUGAGUAUCGGAGAGGCAGGCGGAAUUCCUAGUGUAGCGGUGAAAUGCGUA